rnacentral:rRNA from 1 species
GUUCCCUUCGGGGAGCAAGUAGAGUGGCGCACGGGUGAGUAACACGUAGGUAAUCUACCUUUGGAUGGGGAAUAACAACCGGAAACGGUUGCUAAUACCGCAUAAUGCAGCGGCACCUAAUGGUGACAGUUGUUAAAGCGGGGGAUCGCAAGACCUCGCGUCUAAAGAGGAGCCUGCGGCGGAUUAGCUAGUUGGUAAGGUAACGGCUUACCAAGGCGAUGAUCCGUAGCCGGCCUGAGAGGGCGGUCGGCCACACUGACACUGACAUACGGGUCAGACUCCUACGGGAGGCAGCAGUCGGGAAUUUUGGGCAAUGGGCGAAAGCCUGACCCAGCAACGCCGCGUGAAGGAUGAAAUCCCUCGGGAUGUAAACUUCGCAAGAACGGGAAGAAUAAGUCCGUGCUAACACCACGGGCGAUGACGGUACUGUUUGUAAGCUCCGGCUAACUCCGUGCCAGCAGCCGCGGUAAUACGGGGGGAGCAAGCGUUGUUCGGAUUUACUGGGCGUAAAGGGCGCGUAGGCGGCCACCGCAAGUCGGUUGUGAAAUCUCCGGGCUUAACCCGGAAAGGUCAACCGAUACUGCGGGGCUAGAGUGCAGAAGGGGCAACUGGAAUUCUCGGUGUAGCGGUGAAAUGCGUAGAUAUCGAGAGGAACACCUGCGGCGAAGGCGGGUUGCUGGGCUGACACUGACGCUGAGGCGCGAAAGCUAGGGGAGCGAACGGGAUUAGAUACCCCGGUAGUCCUAGCCUUAAACGAUGGAUGCUUGGUGU